UACGUAGGGUGCAAGCGUUGUCCGGAAUUAUUGGGCGUAAAGAGCUCGUAGGCGGCUUGUCGCGUCGACUGUGAAAACCCGUGGCUCAACCAUGCGGUCUGCAGUCGAUACGGGCAGGCUAGAAUUCGGUAGGGGAGACUGGAAUUCCUGGUGUAGCGGUGAAAUGCGCAGAUAUCAGGAGGAACACCGGUGGCGAAGGCGGGUCUCUGGGCCGAUAUUGACGCUGAGGAGCGAAAGCGUGGGGAGCGAACAGG
rnacentral:rRNA from 1 species